GCUCAUGACUAUGCUGUCUUGCUUUACACUUAUUUGUUUCUUAGUCUAGACUUUCCAACUAGAUUCCAAACUCCUUGAGCACAGAAAUCAGUCAUUACAGCUUCACUAGUUCUAACAUGGUCCUAAACAAAUGGUAGUCAUACAGUAUUUUAUGAUCAUUUGCUCCAUUGAUAGCAGCCUCACUUAUUGCUUAAUUUCAACAGAUUCAACAGACUCCAAAUCUGAUUCAUCAGUAGUGUUUCAUGAGGUACUAAGCACAAGCAGAAGUUGGUGAUACCAAAGAGGAAGGGAGGAAUCAUUUAUUGGGCACCAGAAGUUAGACCAUUCAUCAAAGGAGAAGAAGACAAGUAAUUCGAGCGGGUGGAAGUUCACUCAUAGUUCAUGGCCAAGUGCAGAAAGGAGCUAAUUCUGCUGUCUGAGAAUUAUCUGCGUCUUGCUAGCAUGAAAAGAUAUUUUGGAGAAGCAUUAGAGCAGACAGAGUUAGAAGAAAACCUCUGCUGACAGAUUGUGCUCAGAUCCUGGCUCUGCCAAGCUGCAUGACCCUGGACCAGUCAACAAUCGCUUUGGAGAGGAGAAACAAUUACUUUGUAAACUGAAGCAGCGCACUUAAUGAAGGAAGCAGAGAAGCUGCUGUGGAGGCUUUUUGCUAUCUAAUGUGCUCACGCGGUGCCCC
rnacentral:lncRNA from 1 species